rnacentral:tRNA from 1 species
GCCUGGGUGGCUUAGUUGGUUGAGCAUCUGACUUCAGUUCAGGUCAUAAUCUUUCCGUACGUGGGUUCAAGCCCUCUGCUGUCA